rnacentral:rRNA from 1 species
AGAGUUUGAUCCUGGCUCAGAGCGAACGCUGGCGGCAGGCCUAACACAUGCAAGUCGAACGGGCCCUUUCGGGGGUCAGUGGCAGACGGGUGAGUAACGCGUGGGAACGUGCCCAUCGGUUCGGGAUAACCCAGGGAAACUUGGGCUAAUACCGGAUACGCCCUUUUGGGGAAAGAUUCAUUGCCGAUGGAUCGGCCCGCGUCUGAUUAGCUAGUUGGUGAGGUAACGGCUCACCAAGGCGACGAUCAGUAGCUGGUCUGAGAGGAUGAUCAGCCACACUGGGACUGAGACACGGCCCAGACUCCUACGGGAGGCAGCAGUGGGGAAUAUUGGACAAUGGGCGCAAGCCUGAUCCAGCCAUGCCGCGUGAGUGAUGAAGGCCUUAGGGUUGUAAAGCUCUUUCGUCCGGGACGAUAAUGACGGUACCGGAAGAAGAAGCCCCGGCUAACUUCGUGCCAGCAGCCGCGGUAAUACGAAGGGGGCUAGCGUUGUUCGGAAUCACUGGGCGUAAAGGGCGCGUAGGCGGCCUGAUAAGUCGGGGGUGAAAGCCUGUGGCUCAACCACAGAAUUGCCUUCGAUACUGUCGGGCUUGAGACCGGAAGAGGUAAGUGGAACUGCGAGUGUAGAGGUGAAAUUCGUAGAUAUUCGCAAGAACACCAGUGGCGAAGGCGGCUUACUGGUCCGGUUCUGACGCUGAGGCGCGAAAGCGUGGGGAGCAAACAGGAUUAGAUACCCCAGUAGUCC